rnacentral:rRNA from 1 species
UGGGAAUUUUGGACGAAUUGGGCGAAAGCCUGAUCCAGCAAUGCCGCGUGUGUGAAGAAGGCCUUCGGGUUGUAAAGCACUUUUGUCCGGAAAGAAAUCCUUGGCUCUAAUACAGUCGGGGGAUGACGGUACCGGAAGAAUAAGCACCGGCUAACUACGUGCCAGCAGCCGCGGUAAUACGUAGGGUGCAAGCGUUAAUCGGAAUUACUGGGCGUAAAGCGUGCGCAGGCGGUUUGCUAAGACCGAUGUGAAAUCCCCGGGCUCAACCUGGGAACUGCAUUGGUGACUGGCAGGCUAGAGUAUGGCAGAGGGGGGUAGAAUUCCACGUGUAGCAGUGAAAUGCGUAGAGAUGUGGAGGAAUACCGAUGGCGAAGGCAGCCCCCUGGGCAAGUACUGACGCUCAUGCACGAAAGCGUGGGGAGCAAACGGAUUAAU